rnacentral:misc_RNA from 1 species
GAUGAAGAACGUAGCGAAAUGCGAUAAGUAAUGUGAAUUGCAGAAUUCAGUGAAUCGUCGAAUCUUUGAACGCACAUUGCGCCCGCCAGUAUUCUGGCGGGCAUGCCUGUUCGAGCGUCAUUUCAACCAUCAAGCCCCCGGCUUGUGUUGGGGACCUGCGGCUGCCGCAGGCCCUGAAAAGCAGUGGCGGGCUCGCUGUCACACCGAGCGUAGUAGCAUACAUCUCGCUCUGGGCGUGCUGCGGGUUCCGGCCGUUAAACCACCUUCAUAACCCAAGGUUGACCUCGGAUCAGGUAGGAAGACCCGCUGAACUUAAGCAUAUCAAUAAGCGGAGGA